AAAAAAAAAAAGAUACUCAUUUAAUUUUAAACUCUUGAACGUUCUUCUACCUAAAUUCAAAGUUUUGAUAAUAGUAACGGUCUCGAUUUCCACUAAAGAGCACGUGAAAAUCAUAUUCUAAAACUGGGGAGAUAUUUCAUGCUUGAAGUCAUGUCUUUUGAGUUUGCCUAUGUAUGAAAAUAAUCGAUUUAAAUAAUUUAGGCUACGUUAUCAUAACAGUAAUAAAUUAUAAAUAUAUGUGAUUAAUUCAAAAAAUAAUAAAAUUCUGUGAACAAAAUUUAAUUUCUAUUUGGUUACUGAUUACCCACAAGCGAUGCUAUUUUACAAUGGAAAUAGUUGUAUGAUACUAACGCAGGUAAUUUACAGUGAAUUAUUUAUAAAAUUGAGCUAUUUUACUAGUCACAAAUAAUUAAUUGUUGAUAUGUAUGUCCUUUAUGGAAACCAACAAUAAGCAGUAGCUGGUUGCCACGUAUAUGACUAAAGCUUUCUCAAUGCAAUAUUAAUUCUAUGAAGACAACAUCACGUGACAACUUGUGUGCUUGGAAAAAUAAGAUUUAAAUUACAGAUUGAGUUGUAAAAUAACAAGUUUUACAUUAGGAGCUUAAGUUAAGCACAAUAAAUAAAUAAAUAAAUAAGACAUAAGAAAUAUUACUAAAAUAGAUAAUAAUUUAUUGUUAUUAUACUUUUUUUGUAAUGAGAUGAAAAUCUAAUAUUUCAUUAAUGUAAUGUUGGUGUAGAAAAUAAAAUUUAUUUUAUCAUAAAAUAAUGUCUUUGAAUAUAUUUAUAUAUAAUAUAUAAUUUGGUGAAAUAUCAAAUGUUUUAAUAAUUAUUACCAUUGAAAAAAAUAAAAAGAGUUCCACUUGGGAUGUGGCACCAAAAAGCUGCAAAAACUAUAUGACUUUCUUUUCCCCCUUUUAUUUGCCAUUUGCUGCAGUCACAAGCUCAUUAAGAAAGGACAAAAAGGAGAGCCGGGGUAAGGAGGUACUUUUAAUGUUAAGAACAGUAAAGUGUCUUCUCUUUUAGUAUAUUUGUAUGAUAUAAUAUAUUGUAUAUAUCAAGCUAUUUAGAUUGAAGAGUGCUUAGGGAUGUUUGGGUAUUUGACCUUUAUUCUGAGACGCUGUCAUUGUCCAUCAUGCUUAAGACAAGUUUGGAUACUUGGUCAUGCUUCAUAUAAUUAUAAACCCAAAUACUGCAAUGGAUGACUACUUGCCAAAAUAUAUUAUUAUUUUUGAAAACCUUCAUUAGAAUAGGGAUUACCAGAUUCAUUUAGCUGCUGUUCUUUUUCUUUUUUUGUUUUUCUUUUUCUUUUUAACAUUAUUCCUUGGUGUUUAAAACUUUUUGUGAACAACAGUUAUGGCUUUUUGAAUUUAUAUUAUGCAUUCAGGGUCCCUGCCUUAGAUAGUAACAUUAAUGGGCGUCUGCACCAUCAAAGGUCUGUGCUGUCUGAAAAUAGCAGGCUUUCAUGUAGGAAAAGUGCAGGCUGUCUCGACUCCAUGGCUGAUUGUGCUACUGCAGCUGCCUCACAUCAGAAUGGGGUUGAAGAAACUGGGAGGAAUGGUCCUAGGAUGCCAGUAG
rnacentral:misc_RNA from 1 species